rnacentral:rRNA from 1 species
GACGAACGCCGGCGGCGUGCUUAACACAUGCAAGUCGAACGGAAAGGCCCUUCGGGGUACUCGAGUGGCGAACGGGUGAGUAACACGUGGGUGAUCUGCCCUGCACUUUGGGAUAAGCCUGGGAAACUGGGUCUAAUACCGAAUAGGACCACGCGCUUCAUGGUGUGUGGUGGAAAGCUUUUGCGGUGUGGGAUGGGCCCGCGGCCUAUCAGCUUGUUGGUGGGGUAAUGGCCUACCAAGGCGACGACGGGUAGCCGGCCUGAGAGGGUGACCGGCCACACUGGGACUGCGAUACGGCCCAGACUCCUACGGGAGGCAGCAGUGGGGAAUAUUGCACAAUGGGCGCAAGCCUGAUGCAGCGACGCCGCGUGAGGGAUGACGGCCUUCGGGUUGUAAACCUCUUUCAAUAGGGACGAAGCGCAAGUGACGGUACCUAUAGAAGAAGCACCGGCCAACUACGUG